GAAAAAAUAGAGCUCCAUACCUCACUCAGCACACCUGGAUUGUAAAUCGAUUAGGAGCUUAAUGUAUAAAAUGAAUCUAUUGGCCGGGUGCAGUGGCUCACACCUGAAUCCUACCACUUUGGGAGGCCAAGGUGGGUGGAUCGCUUGAGCUCAGGAGUUCAAGACCAGCAUGGGCAACAUAGCAAAACCCCUUCUCUGUAAAAAAUAGAAAAAUUAGCCAGGCAUGGUGGUGCUUGCCUAUAGACCCAGCUACUUGGUGGGAGGUGGGAAGAUUGCUCGAGCCAGGGAACUUGAGGCUGGAGUGCAGUGGUGUGAUCUCAGCUCACUGCAACCCCUGCCUCCUGGGCUCAAAUGAUCCUCCCACCUCAGGCACCCAAGUAGCUGGGAUUACAGGUGCGCACCACCAUGCCCAGCUAAUUUUUGUGUUUUUAGUAAAGAUGGGGUUUUGCCAUGUUGGCCAGGCUGGUCUCAAACUCCUGGCCUCAAGUGAUCCACCUGCCUCAGCCUCCUAAAGUGCUGGAAUUACAGGCUUGAGCCACUGUGCCUGGUCUUGCUGGUGAUAUUUUGAAGAAACAUAUUCUUGUACAUUGAUGGUGGGACACCAUUCUCAUGGGGGGGCAAUUGGCAUACCUAACAAAAUUAGAAAUGGUCCUAGCUACUCAGUAGGCUGCGGCAGCAGGAUCGCUUGAGUGAGCCCAGGAGGUUGAGGCUGCAGUAAGCCGUGAUCAUGCCACUGCACUCCAGCCUGGAUGACAAAGCAAAACCCAAUCUCUUAAAAAAAAAAGGGGGGGUUGCGGGGGGAAAUGUCCUCAGACCCAGUAAUUCCACCCCUAGGAAUCCAGCUUACACACAC
rnacentral:lncRNA from 10 species